AAUGAAUCAAAACUUUCAACAACGGAUCUCUGGGUUCUGGCAUCGAUGAAGAACGCAGCGAAAUGCGAUAAGUAAUGUGAAUUGCAAAAUUCAGGGAAUCAUCGAAUCUUUGAACGCACAUUGCGCCCGCCAAAAUUCUGGGGGGCAUGCCUGUUCGAG
rnacentral:rRNA from 1 species